rnacentral:rRNA from 1 species
UACGAAGGGGACUAGCGUUGUUCGGAUUUACUGGGCGUAAAGCGCGCGUAGGCGGAUCGCUAAGUCAGGGGUGAAAUCCCAGGGCUCAACCCUGGAACUGCCUUUGAUACUGUCGAUCUGGAGUAUGGAAGAGGUGAGUGGAAUUCCGAGUGUAGAGGUGAAAUUCGUAGAUAUUCGGAGGAACACCAGUGGCGAAGGCGGCUCACUGGUCCAUUACUGACGCUGAGGUGCGAAAGCGUGGGGAGCAAACAGG